CGCACCUUGCGCUCCUUGGCAUUCCGAGGAGCAUGCCCGUUUGAGUGUCGUGAUAACCAUCAAGCCCCCCCUUCUCGCGCCUUUGCGGGGAGGGGCCUUGGACUUGGACGCGCUGCCGGCCGGAGACGGUCGGCUCGUCCCAAACGCAUUAGCCGCUCGUUCACCCCCCGGCCUCCUGAGCGUUCUCACUCGGCGUGAUAAGAUCACCCGUCGAGGGCUCCCUUGCGCCGGACAGCGGGGGGACUGGCUUCCAACCGUCCGCCAGGACAACCACACCUGACCAUCUGACCUCAAAUCGGGUAGGACUACCCGCUGAACUUAA
rnacentral:misc_RNA from 1 species